rnacentral:rRNA from 1 species
UACGUAGGGUCCGAGCGUUGUCCGGAAUUAUUGGGCGUAAAGGGCUCGUAGGCGGCCAACUAAGUCAGACGUGAAAUCCCCAGGCUCAACCUGGGAACUGCGUCUGAUACUGGUUGGCUUGAAUCCGGGAGAGGGAUGCAGAAUUCCAGGUGUAGCGGUGAAAUGCGUAGAUAUCUGGAGGAAUACCGGUGGCGAAGGCGGCAUCCUGGACCGGCAUUGACGCUGAGGAGCGAAAGCUAGGGGAGCAAACGGG